GACAGAGGGUGCAAACGUUGUUCGGAAUUACUGGGCGUAAAGCGCGUGUAGGCUGUUCUGAAAGUCGGGUGUGAAAGCCCUGGGCUCAACCUAGGAAGUGCACUCGAAACUUCAGAACUCGAGUCCUGGAGAGGAAGGCGGAAUUCUCGGUGUAGAGGUGAAAUUCGUAGAUAUCGAGAGGAACACCGGUGGCGAAGGCGGCCUUCUGGACAGUGACUGACGCUGAGACGCGAAAGCGUGGGGAGCGAACAGG
rnacentral:rRNA from 1 species